rnacentral:rRNA from 1 species
GCCCCCCUCAAGAUGAGAUUUCCCAACUUCGGUUAUAAGAUCCCUCGAAGAUGACGAGGUUAAUAGGUUCGAGGUGGAAGCGUGGUGACACGUGGAGCUGACGAAUACUAAUCGAUCGAAGACUUAAUCAAU